UCCUCCACUAUGCCGCCUCCUCCCAUUCCCUAACCCUAUCUGCUCCCCGCGCCACCGUCUCCUCCUUCGCCUAGCCCGCCGGAUACUCGUCGUCGUCCUCGCAUCCACACGGGAGGUGCUCCGCCUCUUCCUCCCUCCUGGUUUCGGGCUAGGCAUCACCUUCGUCGCCGGCGUGGCUCCGGUGGACUCUGGCGGGCUCCUCUCCGUCUUCUCCCUCGUCUCACGCGCGGUUCCGCUUCUCGCUGGCCACCGGGUGUAGCCUUGCAGGGGCGCAUCGGGCUGGGCCCGCGCCGCACAGCCGUGAGGAACAUAGAAGAGCACACCACCGGGCCGCACAGCAGGCAAGGAAGGAGCGCCACCGCGGAAUGGGUAGGUCAACGCCGCAGAUUGGGGAGGAGCGCCGUCGCCGCCUGGACCAAGCUCCCUGCUCCACCGACCAAGGACGCUCGAUUCCGGCCACCUGCAGCACAUCAAGCCAUCCGCUAACAGGUCCCUUAUCUUGUUCCUCGAUUAGUUUGUUGUUCUGACCACCUGCAAUACAAACCAAACUGAACUGAUAUGUGAUCCUGCAGUACAAACCAAACUGAACUUAUCUUCUUUCUCUGAAUAUGUAUGCCAUGGUUUGACCAUUAGAUAUAGCAGUUCUGAAAUUAGAUAUUGUUCUGAAAAUCAGAUAUUGUUGAAUUUAAGAGAAGCUACAGCAAUCAAUCGUAGCUAACUGGUUGUAUGGAUUCACAUGGUUUCCAGAACUCUUUUCAUAGCUAGCUGAUCACUUGGUGGAGGACAAUAUGUGCACUACUAUUCUUGAUCAAGUCACUUUUCUAUAAUGUUUGAGCUCACCAAUGGUGAUGUAGUCAACAUAUAUCUCUUCUGCUCCUGUCAGCUAACCUGUUCAUGCCGAGGGCUUAUGUAUGGGUGAUCAUUCUUUUCACUUCCUCUGAAUCUCCUCUAUCCAUUAUAGAGGAAGAAUAUGGAUAAUGGUCGCGGGGCCAUCGCCCCUGCUCGACGUGCGCAGCGAGCAAGAGUUCGUUCUACGCGUCAGGAAGGAAGUGGAGAGAGGGAAGUUGCCUCCAGAUGUUGCUGAUAACUUCGAAAACCUGUACUACAAUUACAAGAAUGAGGUCCUACAAAAUGGGGAUCCAAAUGCAUAUCAGAUCAUGCUUUCCAACAUGAUGGAUUUAUUUGACCGCAUUCUGCUGGAUGCAGAGAGUCCAUUUACGUUUCAGCCUUAUCACAAGGCCAUCAGAGAACCAUUUGACUAUUACACCUUCGGUCAGAAUUACAUUAGGCCACUGGUAGAUUUUAGGUACAAAUCUGGGUGUGGAUUGCUGCCUUGCCUUUCCAGCAGGCAAAGGUUCAGUUGGCUACAGGUUUCUUGUUGUAUCUAUCACUGCAGUUACACAAUAUCUUGUCUAUCCAAUAAUUGGAAGCCUUGCCUACAAUUUUCCAUCUGAGCAUUCUUGCAGAAUAAUUAUUAUGUGUUCAUCAAUGAUAACAAUGAUACCUGAUUCAAGAUUAGGUGGUCUACAAUCCGCCGACUCUCCAAAACCAUAUCUCCAGCCCAUCAAAUCUGAAAAUUAAAGGCUGAUGAUGGUGUUAUAAGGUUUAAAAUAAAGGAUGAUGGGGAGUAUCCGCCUGUUAUUAGUUCUAACAAAAGGUUCUUUUCAAUGGUGAGUCGGACUGCACACAUAAGUAACCCCAAGGUGUUGCAAUCGAUAUCCAGUAUAGCGAGUUCUGGGACAGGUGGUGGAGUAGCUACAACGGGGAGGAGCCAUGCGAUGACCUCGAUGCUUACUGUUGCUGCCACAAGCAUUGUGUCUGAAAAAGAAGCAGGUCCUCACAAUACAACAUGCGAGGAGUAAGCCAACAAGGCUAUCGGACGGGGCCCAACUAUCUAUAUAUAUGGUCUAAUAUUAUAACAUAGUACUAGGUAGUGAUCUAAACUAUCUUAUAUUUCUUGAUAGAGGAACAGUAUUAGCACUCCACCUUGCUUUUGAUAUCUUUGAUCUUUGUACUGUUUCCGUUGUCCCGGAGAGGCACUAUGUGUUGCUUUUGUUAUAAAUCUCUCUCUCUCCCUCCCUCCCUCCCCCUCUCUCUCUCUCUCAAUGCAUGGCUAUUUGUAUGAUGCAUGGAUAGAAGAGAUUAAGGAUGAGCACUAAAUUGUGUUCUCAUUUUGGUAUGCUGUUCAUUGCUUUGAA